rnacentral:rRNA from 1 species
AGAGUUUGAUCCUGGCUCAGGAUAAACGCUGGCGGCGCACAUAAGACAUGCAAGUCGAACGGAAGUCGUUACGAAAUGGAAUGAAGAUUUAUCUGAUUGAAGUUUUGUAACAAUGGCUUUAGUGGCGGACUGGUGAGUAACACGUAAGCAAUCUACCUAUUAGAGGGGAAUAACAAUGAGAAAUCAUUGCUAAUACCGCAUAAGCUUGUAGUACCGCAUGGUACAGCAAGAAAAGGAGCAAUCCGCUAAUAGAUGAGCUUGCGGCUGAUUAGCUAGUUGGUGUGGUAACGGCAUACCAAGGCAACGAUCAGUAGCCGGGCUGAGAGGCUCUUCGGCCACAUUGGGACUGAGAUACGGCCCAGACUCCUACGGGAGGCAGCAGUCGGGAAUUUUGCGCAAUGGAGGAAACUCUGACGCAGUGACGCCGCGUAUAGGAAGAAGGUUUUCGGAUUGUAAACUAUUUUAGUCAGGGAAGAAAAAUGACAGUACCUGAAGAAUAAGCUCCGGCUAACUACGUGCCAGCAGCCGCGGUAAUACGUAGGGAGCAAGCGUUAUCCGGAUUUAUUGGGUGUAAAGGGUGCGUAGACGGGAAGACAAGUUGGUUGUGAAAGCCCUCGGCUCAACUGAGGAACUGCAACCAAAACUAUCAUUCUUGAGUGCGGGAGAGGAAAGUGGAAUUCCUAGUGUAGCGGUGAAAUGCGUAGAUAUUAGGAGGAACACCAGUGGCGAAGGCGACUUUCUGGACCGUAACUGACGUUGAGGCACGAAAGUGUGGGGAGCAAACAGGAUUAGAUACCCUGGUAGUCCACACCGUAAACGAUGGAUACUAGGUGUAGGGAACGAUAUGUUUUCUGUGCCGAAAGCAAACGCAAUAAGUAUCCCACCUGGGGAGUACGGCCGCAAGGUUGAAACUCAAAGGAAU